GACGAACGCUGGCGGCGUGCUUAACACAUGCAAGUCGAACGGAAAGGCCCCUUUGGGGGUACUCGAGUGGCGAACGGGUGAGUAACACGUGAGUAACCUGCCCUUGACUUCGGGAUAACUUCAGGAAACUGGGGCUAAUACCGGAUAGGAAUCCUUGCUGCAUGGUGGGGGUUGGAAAGCUUCGGCGGUUUUGGAUGGACUCGCGGCUUAUCAGCUUGUUGGUGGGGUAGUGGCUUACCAAGGCUUUGACGGGUAGCCGGCCUGAGAGGGCGACCGGCCACAUUGGGACUGAGAUACGGCCCAGACUCCUACGGGAGGCAGCAGUGGGGAAUAUUGCACAAUGGGCGGAAGCCUGAUGCAACAACGCCGCGUGCGGGAUGACGGCCUUCGGGUUGUAAACCGCUUUCAGCAGGGGCGAAGCUUGUGGUGACGGUACCUGCAGAAGAAGCACCGGCUAACUACGUG
rnacentral:rRNA from 1 species